rnacentral:rRNA from 1 species
AACGAACGCUGGCGGCAUGCCUAACACAUGCAAGUCGAACGAGAUCUUCGGGUCUAGUGGCGCACGGGCGCGUAACGCGUGGGAAUCUGCCCUUUGGUUCGGAAUAACAGUUGGAAACGACUGCUAAUACCGGAUGAUGACGAAAGUCCAAAGAUUUAUCGCCAGAGGAUGAGCCCGCGUAGGAUUAGCUAGUUGGUGUGGUAAAGGCGCACCAAGGCGACGAUCCUUAGCUGGUCUGAGAGGAUGAUCAGCCACACUGGGACUGAGACACGGCCCAGACUCCUACGGGAGGCAGCAGUGGGGAAUAUUGGACAAUGGGCGAAAGCCUGAUCCAGCAAUGCCGCGUGAGUGAUGAGGGCCUUAGGGUUGUAAAGCUCUUUUACCCGGGAUGAUAAUGACAGUACCGGGAGAAUAAGCUCCGGCUAACUCCGUGCCAGCCGCCGCGGUAA